CAUACAUGGUGAAAGAGGAUUUCCUUUUUGUUAUUUCAGAGCUUUGAAGUGACUGGGACAAAUCCAUACAGCCAACCGUAUUUGGACUACGAACAAAAAAAAGUGUGACGACCUUUUAGCACUACAAGCUAGUAAUACAUGUACAUCUCUGCUGUAAUGUGUACUUUUAUUCUUCCCCAAUGCUACAGAUAUCUGAGGAACGCAUCCACAUCUUAAUGACCAAUGAGGACGUCUGCACCCUCACUAACCACCUCAAAGAGGUCUACAAUAAAGUGGAGGCAAAGGAAAAGGUGCGAAAGAGAAAACGUACAAAAGGGGGAGGAUGACGACAGCUUUGCAGUGGGGGACAAAGUUUUGCGAAAAAAUAUUCGGGGAGAGCAAAGAAAAGGGAAACCGACUUGGGUCGAUACACAGUGAUCCAUGUAGAAGGAAAAAGUGCUGACCUGAUGACUCUACAGGGCGAAAAGGUUUGCAAAAUGAACAUUCUCCAUCUGAAGAGGUACGUGGAAUAAUGGAUUGCUGCCACUUCUCCUCCAGCCCCGUAAGGUGUUUGGGGGUUCCCCAAUCCCAGUCUGUACCCCCAAAAUCAGACUCCUUGACCUCCAGUCUCCCGUCAUGGCCUGCACCCGCCUCCCCAGAGGAAUGCAAGUAUAAACCUCAAUACACGUUCAAUAUUAGGACGGUUUGGUCAUCAAAGCCCAAAUGAGGCCUCGGUAAACAACGCUCUUCUAAUCUCAGUGAUAGCUGACAUGUGGGCGAGACAACGUCAAGGUGUGCUGUGGAGCAAAGUGGGGCCUUCAACAUUUGGCCCCCGGGAGGCAGCCGGAGAGUGAGGUACAUGAAAUGCAUGAUGUCUUUCAUUUGUUAAGGCACAAAAAGUAACCACCCACAAUUGUCAUUUAAGGUUUUAAAUGAUUCAUGCAUACAAUUGUAAAGCAGCAACAAGAAGAAACAAAGACAAUUGUGUCUCAUUGACUCGUUCCAAAUGUCCACAUGUGGCAAAGAUCAUUCAGAGGAUUGAAAAAGGAAAACCUUUUGAAAUCUGUUUAGACACGAUUAUGGAUUCAAGCUGCAUUGUCAAUCAUCAUGACAUGUUUUCAGCUUGACCUCCGAGCACCAGUUUGCAACAAACAGCACUGGACACUUGUGGUGAGAAUACAUUUUAUAAAACCUUGUGUAGCAGUGUUCAGUCUUGUGUGCUAAUCUAGCUAACUGAAUGUGAUCAUUAAUCCUCCGUACUUUCAUUUAAAUGUAUUGUGAAGGUAAUUGAUCCAAAGGAGAAGCGGGUGCUUUACCUUGAUCCUUUAGGUGAAACUCCGGAUCACCUAAAUAAAUGCAAGGAUGUGACAAGAAAAGCUACAAAUGGGAAGUUAAUGUCAUUUUCUUUGAUACAAAGCAAUAUAUAUAGUUUUGUUUUGGAAAUGUCCAUAUUUCUCAGUGGACUAGUUGUAAACUAAGCCAUCCAAAACAACAGGACUCAACUGUGGGACACUUGUCUGCAAGGUAAGAGUGCAACUGACCUUUGUUGAAUUC
ensembl:lncRNA